rnacentral:ncRNA from 1 species
UGACCUCGGAUCAGACGUGAUUACCGCUGAAUUUAAGCAUAUUAUUAAGCGGAGGAAAGAAACUAACAAGGAUUCCCCUAGUAACGGCGAGAGUGAACGGACGGGGAAGAGCCCAACACCGAAUCCCUUGGCGCAAGUCAACGGGAAAUGUGGUGUUAAGGUAGCCCUUCGUGUCAGUCUAGGCGUCUCAAGUCCACCUGAUUGUGGCUCAAGCCCAGAGAGGGUGUAAGGCCCGUAGAGACGCUCCGACUGAUUCCUGGGGUUUACCUACGAGUCGGCUUGUUUGGGAAAUGCAGGCCAAAGCGGUGGUAAACUCCAUCCAAGGCCUAAAUACUGGCACGAGUCCGAUAGCGGACAAACGUACCGUACCGUGAGGGAAAGUUUGAAAAGAACUUUGAAGAGAGAGUUCAAUAGUACGUGAAACCGCUUAGAGGCAAACGGAUGGUGCUCAUACUGGCCUGAGGAAUUCAACUGUGACGGUGGCUGGACGAGCUGGCGUUCCGAUCUCUCUUUUGGGACGGGCGUCGGUUUGGCUAUCAGCUCCGACAUUGGUGCACUUUCCUUGGUGCCUCCGCCACGACCGACGACACUGGCUACCCGCGGCUGGGGUAAGGUGACAAACUGCUUCGGCAAUUUGUGUUAUAGCACCGGCCGUCGGACAUGGUUUGGCAGGACGUCGAGCUUGCGCGCGCCCGCUCCUUGUGGCUCGCAUGUUGGCUAGCUUGGCUGCCGCCGAUGCUUGCACUGGACAACCAGUACAGGUGACGGUUGUGGUCUUGUCUCUAGUGGCCUCUGCGAGUUUGGCGCCUAUAGUCUGUGGUGUACUUGUGGGUAGACUAUCCGACCCGUCUUGAAACACGGACCAAGGAGUCUAACAUGUGCGCGAGUCAUGGGAUUCUACGAAACCCAAAGGCGCAGUGAAAGUAAAGGCCUGCUUCUCGUAGGCUGAGGUGGGAUCUCGUGCAUCGCGAUUGGCGAGCGCCACCACCGGCCCGUCCUAUCUGUCUCUGUCAGUGGGGCCGGCGCAAGAGCGUACACGUUGGGACCCGAAAGAUGGUGAACUAUGCUUGCGCAGCUCGAAGUCAGUGGAAAACACUGAUGGAGGAGCGCAGCGUUUCUGACGCUUGCAAAUCGAUCGUCAAACGUGAGUUAUAGGGGCGAAAGACUAAUCGAACCAUCUAGUAGCUGGUUCCCUCCGAAGUUUCCCUCAGGAUAGCUGGCACUCGCGGAAACAGUUUUAUCCGCGUAAAGCCGAAUGAUUAGAGGCAUUGGCGUCGAAACGACCUCGACCUAUUCUCAAACUUUAAAUGGGUAAGAUGCCUCGUCUCGCUUAAUUGGAGGCGGGCUUCACCUCUCUAUAAACGUGAAUGUGAGUGCCCAGUGAGGCCAUUUUUGGUAAGCAGAACUGGCGCUGUGGGAUGAACCAAACGCGCGGUUAAGGCGCCCAAUUGCGGACGCUCAUGAGACACCACAAAAGGUGUUGGUCGAUACUGAACAGCAGGACGGUGGCCAUGGAAGUCGGAACCCGCUAAGGAGUGUGUGUAACAACUCACCUGCCGAAUCAACCAGCCCUGAAAAUGGAUGGCGCUGGAGCGUCGGGCCUAUACCGUUGCCGUUGCGGGCGAAGCAGACAAAUUAAUCUGUGUGGAUGUCCCAACGAGUAGGAGGGUCGCCGUGUGUGAGCGCAGAAGGUGCGGCCGUGAGGCCGGCUGGAGCCGCCACGGGCGCAGAUCUUGGUGGUAGUAGCAAUUACUCAAGUGAGAACCUUGAGGACUGAAGUGGAGAAGGCGGUUCCAUGUGAACAGCAGUUGAACAUGGGUCAGGCGGUCCUAAGCGAUCGGGUAACUCCGUACCUAGACGAGGGUGACAACUAUCACUUGAUAAUACUGUGAAGUGUUAUAGCCCUCCGGAUGCGAAAGGGAAUCGUGUU